CGUCGUCCACAUAACUGUAAGGAUCACCAUCAGCUCUCAACACAUCUUACAAAAUAUACUCGAUUCCAGCACAUAUGAGUCAAGUUAAUAUUUUUCGAGCUAUUUGCGAGUGAAUGAUAUGUUUUUCAACAACAAACACUAGUUUUUCGACGGUUUUCGCAAAUAACUCAAAAAGUAAGUUUUCUACCGAAACAAAAUGUUUAGCAAAAAGAUAGCAUAUAAAAAAAGUGAAAAAAAUGAUGUAUAUAUGAAGUCUGUAUACCCAGUAGAAGCAAAGUUGUAGCUAAUGAAAAGUAGGUUCUUCGUCAAAUUCCAAAUCGAUUAUUUAAACGUGAAAUAACCGUUUCUAUGGUCAAGUAGGUAAGUUACGCUAAAAA
rnacentral:lncRNA from 1 species